ACUCCUACGGGAGGCAGCAGUGGGGAAUUUUGGACGAUGGGGGCAACCCUGAUCCAGCCAUGCCGCGUGAGUGAGGAAGGCCUUCGGGUUGUAAAGCUCUUUCGGCCGGGAAGAAAUCGUGUUCUCUAACAUAGGACAUGGAUGACGGUACCGGACUAAGAAGCACCGGCUAACUACGUGCCAGCAGCCGCGGUAAU
rnacentral:rRNA from 1 species